rnacentral:rRNA from 1 species
UACGGAGGGUGCAAGCGUUAUCCGGAUUUACUGGGUUUAAAGGGUGUGUAGGCGGGCCUAUAAGUCAGUGGUGAAAUCUCCGAGCUUAACUUGGAAACUGCCAUUGAUACUAUUGGUCUUGAAUUCUGUUGAGGUGGGCGGAAUAAGUCAUGUAGCGGUGAAAUGCAUAGAUAUGACUUAGAACACCAAUUGCGAAGGCAGCUCGCUAAACAGAUAUUGACGCUGAGGCACGAAAGCGUGGGGAUCAAACAGG